AACGAACGCUGGCGGCAGGCUUAACACAUGCAAGUCGAACGCCCCGCAAGGGGAGUGGCAGACGGGUGAGUAACGCGUGGGAACAUACCCUUUUCUACGGAAUAGCUCUGGGAAACUAGAAUUAAUACCGUAUACGCCCUACGGGGGAAAGAUUUAUCGGGGAAGGAUUGGCCCGCGUUGGAUUAGCUAGUUGGCGGGGUAAAGGCCUACCAAGGCGACGAUCCAUAGCUGGUCUGAGAGGAUGAUCAGCCACAUUGGGACUGAGACACGGCCCAAACUCCUACGGGAGGCAGCAGUGGGGAAUAUUGGACAAUGGGCGCAAGCCUGAUCCAGCCAUGCCGCGUGAGUGAUGAAGGCCUUAGGGUUGUAAAGCUCUUUCACCGAUGAAGAUAAUGACGGUAGUCGGAGAAGAAGCCCCGGCUAACUUCGUGCCAGCAGCCGCCGUAAAAC
rnacentral:rRNA from 1 species